rnacentral:lncRNA from 1 species
UUUUUGACGGUUUAACAUAGAAAAAGAUGAAUAGUAGGAACUUAACUAAUGAAAACAGAGAAAGUUCAAUGGUAUGACUAUGAAUACCUAUAAAGCACCAGAAGUAUUAUCAAUGAACAGGGGAUACCAAAAGGAUCUAUAUUUUUUUUCCAUUUUCGUUUUCUGAGGGAGUCUAAGGAUCUGUUAUGCAAGUGACAUUUUUUAAACUAACUGCAAGUGGGCAAAAUUGAUUAACUUUGCAAGUGUAACAUGUUUUACUGUUAUAUGCAUAAAUCAGGUUCAGAUAUUUGGCACUAAAUGCAAGUGUAUCCUUUCUACCAACGAAACAGAUAAACAAGUUUAGCAUAGUAUAAACGUGUUCUUGACGGUUUAUAACAUAGAAAAAGAUGAAUAGUAAAAACAAUAAUGAAAACAGACUAAAUUCAGUGGUACGACUAUGAAUACGUACGUAUAAAGCACCAGAAGUAUUAUCAGUGAACAGGGGAUAUAAAAAGGAUCUAUAUUUUUUUUUUUCAUUUUCGUUUUUUGAGGGAGUCUAAGGAUCUGUUAUGCAAAUGUAACAUUUUUUAAACUAAUUGCAAGAGGGCAAGAUUGAAUUGAAUAACUAAUUGCAAGUCUAACAAGUUUUACUGUUAUAUGCAUAUGUCAGGUUCAGAUAUUUGGCGAUGAAAUAAAUACUAGAGCAUCAUGCCUAACCGAUAGUAAAAUGAGGGAAGUCACAGGGUUACCGAGGCAGGAGAGGGGCUUUACUUACGCGGCGGCGGUAGGAAGAGAAUGUAGAGAGAAGGUCCCAGCAGCACCCCGACACUGAGAGCAUAUUGAUGAGCCCCCAGUAUCCCAUUUGGGGGCCGUGGACGAGAACUUGCAGGCCAGACAGUAGAUUUAGCAGAACAAGGGCAGCGUAGAAAGCUAAGAGGGGGAUGGGGGGCUUCGCAAGGAAGAGAAAGCACAUGUCCAAGAGGCCACCCAAGACCCCCAGGACGUUGGAAAUCUCCCACAAGAGGGUGGUCGGGACGCUGGAUAUGAGCGCGAAGGCGCUCGAGAGGAGGUUAAAUAC